UACAGAGGUCCCAAGCGUUGUUCGGAUUCACUGGGCGUAAAGGGUGCGUAGGCGGUCAGGUAAGUCUGAUGUGAAAUCUCUGGGCUUAACCCAGAAAUGGCAUUGGAUACUAUUUGGCUUGAGAGUUGGAGGGGGGACUGGAAUUCUUGGUGUAGCAGUGAAAUGCGUAGAUAUCAAGAGGAACACCAGUGGCGAAGGCGACUUACUGGACGAUUGUUGACGCUGAGGUGCGAAAGCGUGGGGAGCAAACAGG
rnacentral:rRNA from 1 species